UUCCUUUUAGCAGCAAAUAUACUAAAAUUGGAAUGAUACAAAGAUUAGCUUGGCCCCUGGGCAAGGAUGACAUGCAAAUUCGUGAAGCAUUUUAUAUUUAA
ensembl:snRNA U6 U6 spliceosomal RNA